UACGUAGGGAGCAAGCGUUGUCCGGAAUCAUUGGGCGUAAAGCGUGCGCAGGCGGCUUUGCAAGACAGAUGUGAAAUCCCCGGGCUUAACCUGGGAACUGCAUUUGUGACUGCAUGGCUGGAGUGCGGCAGAGGGGAUGGAAUUCCGCGUGUAGCAGUGAAAUGCGUAGAUAUGCGGAGGAACACCGAUGGCGAAGGCAAUCCCCUGGGCCUGCACAUGACGCUCAUGCACGAAAGCGUGGGGAGCAAACAGG
rnacentral:rRNA from 1 species